GAUGAACGCUGGCGGCGUGCCUAAUACAUGCAAGUCGAGCGAAUGGAUUAAGAGCUUGCUCUUAUGAAGUUAGCGGCGGACGGGUGAGUAGCACGUGGGUAACCUGCCCAUAAGACUGGGAUAACUCCGGGAAACCGGGGCUGAUACCGGAUAAUAUUUUGAACUGCAUGGUUCAAAAUUGAAAGGCGGCUUCGGCUGUCACUUAUGGAUGGACCCGCGUCGCAUUAGCUAGUUGGUGAGGUAACGGCUCACCAAGGCAACGAUGCGUAGCCGACCUGAGAGGGUGAUCGGCCACACUGGGACUGAGACACGGCCCAGACUCCUACGGGAGGCAGCAGUAGGGAAUCUUCCGCAAUGGACGAAAGUCUGACGGAGCAACGCCGCGUGAGUGAUGAAGGCUUUCGGGUCGUAAAACUCUGUUGUUAGGGAAGAACAAGUGCUAGUUGAAUAAGCUGGCACCUUGACGGUACCUAACCAGAAAGCCACGGCUAACUACGUGCCAGCAGCCGCGGUAA
rnacentral:rRNA from 1 species